rnacentral:lncRNA from 1 species
AACUUUUCAACCAUAGUUGCAGCGAAAUGAGCAAUCCAUUAGAAGAGUCAAAUAGACUAUAAAGUCUAUUAUCUUCUCCAUAUUAAAAGUCCACCAACAAUGUUUUAUCCCUGUAACAUCAAUCAAUAAUUCCUGUCCACAGUCACAUGUAUAACUUAUAAUUGUAAUUGUAGUUCUAAAUUCCUUUUUUCAUCCAGGACAAAGAUAAAUUUCAUCACCUGAAACAUCAAAGAUUAUGGUUAUACCAAAUCACAGUUUAUGUUCAUAAUCCUACUAAUAAAUUCAUCUUUGCACUACGGCCAAAGAUAUUCAUCAACAAGUCAUCUUUGCACUACAGGCCAAAGAUAUU